rnacentral:rRNA from 1 species
AUUGAACGCUGGCGGCAGGCCUAACACAUGCAAGUCGAACGAGUGGCGGACGGGUGAGUAAUGUCUGGGAAACUGCCUGAUGGGGGGGGAUAACUACUGGAAACGGUAGCUAAUACCGCAUACCAUCGGAUGUGCACAGAUGGGAUUGGCUAGUAGGUGGGGUAAAGGCUCACCUAGGCGACGAACCCUAGCUGGUCUGAGAGGAUGACCAGCAAAACGGGAACUGGUACACGGCCCAGACUCCUACGGGAGGCGGAAGUGGGGAAUAUUGCACAAGGGGCGAAAGCCUGAUGCAGACAUGCCGCGUGUAGGAAGAAGGCCUGCGGGUUGUAAAGUACUUUCAGCGGGGAGGCGGUACCCGCAGAAGAAGCACCGGCUAACUCCGUGCCAGCAGCCGCGGUAAUAC